rnacentral:rRNA from 1 species
GAUGAACGCUGGCGGCGUGCCUAAUACAUGCAAGUCGAGCGAACAGAUGAGGAGCUUGCUCCUCUGACGUUAGCGGCGGACGGGUGAGUAACACGUGAUAACCUACCUAUAAGACUGGGAUAACUUCGGGAAACCGUAGCUAAUACCGGAUAAUAUAUUGAACCGCAUGGUUUAAUAGUGAAAGACGGUUUUGCUGUCACCUAUAGAUGGAUCCGCGCCGCAUUAGCUAGUUGGUAAGGUAACGGCUUACCAAGGCGACGAUGCGUAGCCGACCUGAGAGGGUGAUCGGCCACACUGGAACUGAGACACGGUCCAGACUCCUACGGGAGGCAGCAGUAGGGAAUCUUCCGCAAUGGGCGAAAGCCUGACGGAGCAACGCCGCGUGAGUGAUGAAGGUCUUCGGAUCGUAAAACUCUGUUAUUAGGGAAGAACAAAUGUGUAAGUAACUAUGCACGUCUUGACGGUACCUAAUCAGAAAGCCACGGCUAACUACGUG